rnacentral:rRNA from 1 species
GACGAACGCUGGCGGCGUGCUUAACACAUGCAAGUCGAACGGAAAGGCCCUGCUUUUGUGGUGUGCUCGAGUGGCGAACGGGUGAGUAACACGUGAGUAACCUGCCCUUGACUUUGGGAUAACUUCACGAAACUGGGGCUAAUACCGUAUAGGAGAUCCCCCUGGAUGGUGGGGGUUGGAAAGUUUCGGCGGUUGGGGAUGGACUCGCGGCUUAUCAGCUUGUUGGUGGGGUAGUGGCUUACCAAGGCUUUGACGGGUAGCCGGCCUGUGAGGGUGACCGGCCACAUUGGGACUGAGAUACGGCCCAGACUCCUACGGGAGGCAGCAGUGGGGAAUAUUGCACAAUGGGAGGGAGCCUGAUGAAGAAACGCCGCGUGCGGGAUGACGGCCUUCGGGUUGUAAACCGCUUUCGCCUGUGACGAAGCGUGAGUGACGGUAAUGGGUAAAGAAGCACCGGCUAACUACGUG